GACGAACGCUGGCGGCGUGCUUAACACAUGCAAGUCGAACGGAAAGGCCCUGCUUUUGUGGGGUGCUCGAGUGGCGAACGGGUGAGUAACACGUGAGUAACCUGCCCUUGACUUUGGGAUAACUUCAGGAAACUGGGGCUAAUACCGGAUAGGAGCUCCUGCUGCAUGGUGGGGGUUGGAAAGUUUCGGCGGUUGGGGAUGGACUCGCGGCUUAUCAGCUUGUUGGUGGGGUAGUGGCUUACCAAGGCUUUGACGGGUAGCCGGCCUGAGAGGGUGACCGGCCACAUUGGGACUGAGAUACGGCCCAGACUCCUACGGGAGGCAGCAGUGGGGAAUAUUGCACAAUGGGCGGAAGCCUGAUGCAGCAACGCCGCGUGCGGGAUGACGGCCUUCGGGUUGUAAACCGCUUUCACCUGUGACGAAGCGUGAGUGACGGUAAUGGGUAAGAAGCACCGGCUAACUACGUGCCAGCAGCCGCGGUGAUACGUAGGGUGCGAGCGUUGUCCGGAUUUAUUGGGCGUAAAGGGCUCGUAGGUGGUUGAUCGCGUCGGAAGUGUAAUCUUGGGGCUUAACCCUGAGCGUGCUUUCGAUACGGGUUGACUUGAGGAAGGUAGGGGAGAAUGGAAUUCCUGGUGGAGCGGUGGAAUGCGCAGAUAUCAGGAGGAACACCAGUGGCGAAGGCGGUUCUCUGGGCCUUUCCUGACGCUGAGGAGCGAAAGCGUGGGGAGCGAACAGGCUUAGAUACCCUGGUAGUCCACGCUGUAAACGGUGGGUACUAGGUGUGGGGUCCAUUCCACGGGUUCCGUGCCGUAGCUAACGCUUUAAGUACCCCGCCUGGGGAGUACGGCCGCAAGGCUAAAACUCAAAGGAAUUGACGGGGCCCCGCACAAGCGGCGGAGCAUGCGGAUUAAUUCGAUGAAACGCGUAGAACCUUACCUGGGUUUGACAUGGAUCGGGAGUGCUCAGAGAUGGGUGUGCCUCUUUUGGGGUCGGUUCACAGGUGGUGCAUGGCUGUCGUCAGCUCGUGUCGUGAGAUGUUGGGUUAAGUCCCGCAACGAGCGCAACCCUUGUUCACUGUUGCCAGCACGUUAUGGUGGGGACUCAGUGGAGACCGCCGGGGUCAACUCGGAGGAAGGUGGGGAUGACGUCAAGUCAUCAUGCCCCUUAUGUCCAGGGCUUCACGCAUGCUACAAUGGCUGGUACAGAGAGUGGCGAGCCUGUGAGGGUGAGCAAAUCUCGGAAAGCCGGUCUCAGUUCGGAUUGGGGUCUGCAACUCGACCUCAUGAAGUCGGAGUCGCUAGUAAUCGCAGAUCAGCAACGCUGCGGUGAAUACGUUCCCGGG
rnacentral:rRNA from 1 species